rnacentral:rRNA from 1 species
CCUACGGGAGGCAGCAGUGGGGAAUAUUGCACAAUGGGGGAAACCCUGAUGCAGCGACGCCGCGUGAGUGAAGAAGUAUCUCGGUACGUAAAGCUCUAUCAGCCGGGAAGAAAAUGACGGUACCUGACUAAGAAGCCCCGGCUAACUACGUGCCAGCAGCCGCGGUAAUACGGAGGGGGCAAGCGUUAUCCGGAUUUACUGGGUGUAAAGGGAGCGUAGACGGCAGCACAAGUCUGGAGUGAAAUCCCGGGGCUUAACCCCGGAACUGCCUUGGAAACUGUGCGGCUGGAGUGCAGGAGGGGUAAGCGGAAUGCGUAGUGUAGCGGUGAAAUGCUUAGAUAUUAGGAGGAACACCGGUGGCGAAGGCAGCUUACUGGACUGGAACUGACGUUGAGGCACGAAAGCGUGGGGAGCAAACAGGAUUAGAUACCUGAGUAGUC